AUUGAACGCUGGCGGCAUGCUUUACACAUGCAAGUCGAACGGUAACAGGCCGCAAGGUGCUGACGAGUGGCGAACGGGUGAGUAAUGCAUCGGAACGUGCCCAGUCGUGGGGGAUAACGCAGCGAAAGCUGUGCUAAUACCGCAUACGAUCUGUGGAUGAAAGCGGGGGACCGUAAGGCCUCGCGCGAUUGGAGCGGCCGAUGUCAGAUUAGGUAGUUGGUGGGGUAAAGGCUCACCAAGCCGACGAUCUGUAGCUGGUCUGAGAGGACGACCAGCCCAACUGGGACUGAGACACGGCCCAGAGUCCUACGGGAGGCAGAAAUGGGGAAUUUUGGAUAAUGGGCGCAAGCCUGAUCCAGCAAUGCCGCGUGCAGGAAGAAGGCCUUCGGGUUGUAAACUGCUUUUGUACGGAGCGAAAAGGCUCUCUCUAAUACAGGGGGCUCAUGACGGUACCGUAAGAAUAAGCACCGGCUAACUACGUGCCAGCCGCCGCGGUAAUAC
rnacentral:rRNA from 1 species